GAUGAACGCUAGCGAUAGGCUUAACACAUGCAAGUCGAGGGGCAGCACAAGGUAGCUUGCUAUCUGGGUGGCGACCGGCGCACGGGUGCGUAACGCGUAUGCAACUUGCCCUAUACAGGAGGAUAACCCGUCGAAAGACGGACUAAUACUGCGUAUGCUCACAACUUGGCAUCAAGUGGUGAGGAAAGAAAUUCGGUAUAGGAUAGGCAUGCGUCCCAUUAGCUUGUUGGUGAGGUAACGGCUCACCAAGGCAACGAUGGGUAGGGGAACUGAGAGGUUUAUCCCCCACACUGGUACUGGGACACGGACCAGACUCCUACGGGAGGCAGCAGUGAGGAAUAUUGGUCAAGGGGCGCGAGCCUGAACCAGCCAAGUCGCGUGAAGGAUGACUGUCUUAUGGAUUGUAAACUUCUUUUAUACGGGAAUAACAAGAGUCACGUGUGACUCCCUGCAUGUACCGUAUGAAUAAGCAUCGGCUAACUCCGUG
rnacentral:rRNA from 1 species